rnacentral:rRNA from 1 species
GGGGGGGGGGGGGGGGGGGGGGGGGGGGGGGGGGGGGGGCGGGGGGGGGGGGGGCCUGCGCCGCUGGCGUUAGCGGCGGGCGGGUGAGUGACACGUGGGUAACCUACCUAUAAGCCUGGGAUCACUUCGGGAAACCGGAGCUAAUACCGGAUAAUAUAUUGAACCGCCUGGUUCACUAGUGACAGCUGGUUUUGCUGUCACUUAUAGAUGGAUCCGCGCCGCAUUAGCUAGUUGGUAAGGCAACGGCUUACCAAGGCAACGCUGCGUAGCCGACCUGAGAGGGUGAUCGGCCACACUGGAACUGAGACACGGUCCAGACUCCUACGGGAGGCAGCAGUAGGGAAUCUUCCGCAAUGGGCGAAAGCUUGACGGAGCAACGCCGCGUGAGUGAUGAAGGUCUUCGGAUCGUAAAACUCUGUUAUUAGGGAAGAACAAAUGUGUAAGUAACUAUGCACGUCUUGACGGUACCUAAUCAGAAAGCCACGGCUAACUACGUG